CCUACGGGGGGCAGCAGUGGGGAAUAUUGGACAAUGGGCGAAAGCCUGAUCCAGCCAUGCCGCGUGUGUGAAGAAGGCCUUCGGGUUGUAAAGCACUUUCAGUGGGGAAGAAAGCCUUGGGGCUAAUACCCUCGAGGAAGGACAUCACCCACAGAAGAAGCACCGGCUAACUCCGUGCCAGCAGCCGCGGUAAUACGGAGGGUGCGAGCGUUAAUCGGAAUUACUGGGCGUAAAGCGCGCGUAGGCGGUCUGAUAAGCCGGUUGUGAAAGCCCCGGGCUCAACCUGGGAACGGCAUCCGGAACUGUCAGGCUGGAGUGCAGGAGAGGAAGGUAGAAAUCCCGGUGUAGCGGUGAAAUGCGUAGAGAUCGGGAGGAAUACCAGUGGCGAAGGCGGCCUUCUGGAAUGACACUGACGCUGAGGUGCGAAAGCGUGGGUAGCAAACAGGAUUAGAUACCCGGGUAGUC
rnacentral:rRNA from 1 species